rnacentral:rRNA from 1 species
GAUGAACGCUGGCGGCGUGCCUAAUACAUGCAAGUCGAGCGAACAGACGAGGAGCUUGCUCCUUUGACGUUAGCGGCGGACGGGUGAGUAACACGUGGGUAACCUACCUAUAAGACUGGGAUAACUUCGGGAAACCGGAGCUAAUACCGGAUAAUAUUUCGAACCGCAUGGUUCGAUAGUGAAAGAUGGCUCUGCUAUCACUUAUAGAUGGACCUGCGCCGUAUUAGCUAGUUGGUAAGGUAACGGCUUACCAAGGCAACGAUACGUAGCCGACGUGAGAGGGUGGUCGGCCACACUGGAACGGAGACACGGUCCAGACUCCUACGGGAGGCAGCAGUAGGGAAUCUUCCGCAAUGGGCGAAAGCCUGACGGAGCAACGCCGCGUGAGUGAUGAAGGUCUUCGGAUCGUAAAACUCUGUUAUUAGGGAAGAACAAACGUGUAAGUAACUGUGCACGUCUUGACGGUACCUAAUCAGAAAGCCACGGCUAACUACGUG